AGAUGCAUAUGGCUGCCUACAGAUGAAUAUACUUACACUGUUAGUUGUCGCGCAUGUCAUGAUAGAGCACAUGUCAUUUGCAGCCACGAGACAAAGAGAGAACAAGACUAGGUGUACCGGGGCCCUGCCGGCUGUCUCCUUGUAGAUAACUACUCAACGCUGCACAGCACAGGAUUCAGCAUUCAACCACUCUCAUACUUUUAUUGUCAUUUCAUCUUUUAUGGGGGACGCCCCACUCUUAAUUUUUAUCACUGAAUGGCUGCUGACGUACGUAUAUAUAAGAGCACUACAAGAUACGACAGGAAAGGGCCGCAACAUAGAAUGCUGGCUUUCUGAUCGAGGAGGAGAUGAUCUGUUAUUGGCCGGGGAUGGAGUCCUCUGAGAGACAAAGGGCCAGUUACUGUAUCAUGUAUGAAUAUUCUGUUGCUUGUACAUUUCGUAGCAAUUGACUCUAGAGUAGCAUCUUGAGCUCCCCUUUCUUCAUCACUCAAUCUGCAGGCAGUGUAUGUGAUUUUCUGACAGGAAAGGCUACUCUAAACAGAGGGAGUCGGCCACACAAGGUAUAGUCUAAUAAUUAUUGUGCAGUACUAGAUGAUCUUCUCUGUUUUGGGUCAGAUGCAAUUGCCUUGAAUCACUAGCCAGUUUAAAACAUUUCUUCUACUCUUGGCUUAAGAAAUUGUAUUUUAUUAUUGUACCAGCAUUAGGUAGUUAACUCCACUUAUGCAUUGACCUCUACGUGUAGCGGUUAUUUGAGCCCUCGAGAAAUGUUGUAUAGUUGUUCACAUUUCAAUGCCAGGAAACCAUAGCUUUGCAUAGUGCGUGGGAGUGUCUUCCAUUUGUAUUACAUGAAGUGUGAAGUGUGUUUGUACAGAGAGGACUCCCAUGGUGGCAAUGAAUGUGAGGCAAUGAUCUGAUGAUGGCUCCACUGCUCUGAUGGACCAAUGCAGGAGAAGUUAUUCUGUAUAAUUAUUACACUAAAUUAAUGUAUGCCACUGUUUGGAUCGGUUUCUGUUCUGCUCAGCUUCUUCCUCCAACUUGCUUACGCAGGCUAAGCUUAUUCUUAGUUCAUUCUUAGUUCAUUCUAUAGUCUAGUAUUAUUGUCGGUUUGGUUGUUUGAUGUUUUUCACCUGGUCAUACGGAAUCACUUCAUUAUUAUCAGUGCAGACCACACCUCUAUCCACACAUUGUAUCUGCACAUCCUGUAUAUAAUUAUGGGGCCACACCCCCACUCACUGUACUGAUAUGUGGUCACACCCACAUACAUGGUAACCCUCUUGACCACACCCCCACCCAUGCAUUGUAUCGUACAUGCUGUGUUUUUGUGUACAGUACACAUCAUCCGUGUCUUUAUCCCCACACCUAGUCGGAGGGAGCAGCAAGUUCUACUAAGAGCCAGCAUCACCAACUAACCAACACACUACAAGACCUACCUACUACCAGCUAGGACAGCACACCACCCGGGACAGACUCUACUAUACCAUGUAAUACGCCUUUGUAUUACGAUCAUGAUACAAUUUGCUGCCCUCCCUCGCCAAUGGAUUGAAUAAUUAUGGACACUCGCAGGACAACUAAGAGACUGACACACAAUAAUAGACACCAAAGGGCCAGUUACUGUAUCAUGUACGAAUAUUCUGUUGCUUGUACAUUUCGUAAUGUAAUUGACUGUAGAGUAGCAUUUUGAGCUCCCCUUUCUUCAUCACUCAAUCUGCAGGCAGUGUAUGUGAUUUUCUGACAGGAAAGGCUACUCUAAACAGAGGGAGUCGGCCACACAAGAGAGGACUCCCAUGGUGGCAAUGAUCUGAUGAUGGCUCCACUGCUCUGAUGGACCAAUGCAGGAGAAGUUAUUCUUCGGAGGGAGCAGCAAGUUCUACUAAGAGCCAGCAUCACCCACUAACCAACACUCUACAAGACCUACCUACUACCAGCUAGGACAGCACACCACCCGGGACAGACUCUACUAUACCCAUGUAAUACGCCUUUGUAUUACGAUCAUGAUACAAUUUGCUGCCCUCCCUCGCCAAUGGAUUGAAUAAUUAUGGACACUCGCAGGACAACUAAGAGACUGACACACAAUAAUAGACACCAAAGGCAGUGUAUGUGAUUUUCUGACAGGAAAGGCUACUCUAAACAAAGGGAGUCGGCCACACAAGUCGGAGGGAGCAGCAAGUUCUACUAAGAGCCAGCAUCACCAACUAACCAACACUACAAGACCUACCUACUACCAGCUAGGACAGCACACCACCCGGGACAGACUCUACUAUACCAUGUAAUACGCCUUUUUAUUACGAUCAUGAUACAAUUUGCUGCCCUCCCUUGCCCAUGGAUUGAAUAAUUAUGGACACUCGCAGGACAACUAAGAGACUGACACACAAUAAUAGACACCUAACUGCAUUUUUGCCAUUAAUAUAAUAAAAAUAAUUUUGCCAUUAA